CGGCAGGCUUAUACAUGCAGUCGAGGGGCAGCACUGGUAGCAAUACCUGGUGGCGACCGGCAAACGGGUGAGGAACAUGUACGCAACCUUCCUUUAACUGGAGGAUAGCCCAUCGAAAGAUGGAUUAAUACUCCGUAACAUAAUGAUAAGGCAUCUUAUUAUUAUUAUAGCUCCGGCGGUUAAAGAUGGGCGUGCAUCUGAUUAGAUAGUUGGUGAGGUAAUGGCUCACCAAGUCAGCGAUCAGUAACUGGUGUGAGAGCACGACCAGUCACACGGGCACUGAGACACGGGCCCGACUCCUACGGGAGGCAGCAGUAAGGAAUAUUGGUCAAUGGACGCAAGUCUGAACCAGCCAUGCCGCGUGGAGGAUUAAGGCCCUUGGGUUGUAAACUCCUUUUAUCUGGGAAGAAAUGCAUUUUUUCUAAAGUGCUUGACGGUACCCAGAGGAAUAAGCACCGGCUAACUCCGUGCCAGCCAGUC
rnacentral:rRNA from 1 species